rnacentral:lncRNA from 1 species
GGUAAGGGCUGAGCAAUGGCAGUUAAGUGCCUUGCCCAGGGUCACACAACUAGAAAGUAUGGGAAGCCAGUAAGAGUAGAGUGGGAGGGGUCAGGGGGAAGUGAGGAGGUGGAGGAGGAGGGUACUGGGGAGGGAGGGUUGUCCCUUUAAAGCAAGAAGCAGCCAAACGCAGUUGAGUGGUGCAGCUCCGUGUCUGCUCUGCUACUGGGAGUGUGUGUUUGUUUAUAUUUCACUCCAUGCAGAUGCAAAAGUGCUACCCUUCCAAGGCUACGGAGAGAAAGUCUGUGGCGUCUUCCGAUCUCUCUCGGACCCCCACCCUCCCACCGAAGAGGAGGCACCACCACCGCACAAAUUACACUGUAUCCAUCAGAGAGCAGCCCAGGCUUCUUUCUUGCUUCGGCAGCCGAGGUUUGGGCUCCUGCAUUAUACCACGGUGACUUCCCCCACCCACCCACCCAGUUUUCUCUCUUCGUUUCGACUCGAAGGCAGCGGAGGGUUAAUAUGCAUCUAAAUUCAUGCCAGUCCAGUCUGCACUACUUUCAAAAACCAGGAUAGAACGGAGACUGCUCGCAAGAAGCCGAACUGGGCAAGGAAAAGCCACUUUUGGUUUUUUGUUUUGCAGUGCUCUUGCUGACGUCGUUUGCCUCUCAAGAAAAAAGGACUUCCGUGGAAAUGGUUUCACAGGAGGAAUGCCGUUGGAACCAAUAGUUGAGAGCUCCCUUGUGUGCGCUUUGGAGGAGAUUCCCCUAAUGAGCCCAAGAGGAGAUGAGAGAUUUGAUAACUGCCCAUCUUCUUAGUAGGACAUAGGCUGAAGACUGCCAGAGUGAACAGAUCGGGGGCCAAUGCACUCACCGCAUACUCCAUGACACCGUGAAGAAACUGUUGCAACUCGGACCAACUGACACAGGCAGAAACUCUCUGUUUUGAUGUGGAUGCCCUCGCGGGCACACACACAUAUUCACAAAGUAAACAUCUUUUACCCCAGAUGCUAACCAUACACAGUUGUACUUGUAGGAAAAAUGUAGAUUUGCUUUAAGUGGCGUUGGGGGUGGCGAUGGGGGUGGGGGUGGGGGUGGGGGGGAGAGGAGGCAGUGGAUGAAAAGAGGGAUGAUUUAAUUAAUAAACAGAAAAGCAUUUCCGAAUAGACGAGCA